rnacentral:rRNA from 1 species
AGUGAACGCUGGCGGUAGGCCUAACACAUGCAAGUCGAACGGCAGCACAGGAGAGCUUGCUCUCUGGGUGGCGAGUGGCGGACGGGUGAGGAAUACAUCGGAAUCUACUCUGUCGUGGGGGGUAACGUAGGGAAACUUACGCUAAUACCGCAUACGACCUACGGGUGAAAGCAGGGGACCUUCGGGCCUUGCGCGAUUGAAUGAGCCGAUGUCGGAUUAGCGAGUUGGCGGGGUAAAGGCCCACCAAGGCGACGAUCCGUAGCUGGUCUGAGAGGAUGAUCAGCCACACUGGAACUGAGACACGGUCCAGACUCCUACGGGAGGCAGCAGUGGGGAAUAUUGGACAAUGGGCGCAAGCCUGAUCCAGCCAUACCGCGUGGGUGAAGAAGGCCUUCGGGUUGUAAAGCCCUUUUGUUGGGAAAGAAAUCCAGCUGGCUAAUACCCGGUUGGGAUGACGGUACCCAAAGAAUAAGCACCGGCUAACUUCGUGCCAGCAGCCGCCGCCG